UACGUAGGGUGCAAGCGUUGUCCGGAAUUAUUGGGCGUAAAGAGCUCGUAGGCGGUCUGUUGCGUCGGCUGUGAAAACCCGGGGCUCAACUCCGGGCCUGCAGCCGAUACGGGCAGACUAGAGUUCGGCAGGGGAGACUGGAAUUCCUGGUGUAGCGGUGAAAUGCGCAGAUAUCAGGAGGAACAUCGGUGGCGAAGGCGGCAUCCUGGACCGAUAUUGACGCUGAGGCGCGAAAGCCAGGGGAGCAAACGGG
rnacentral:rRNA from 1 species